rnacentral:tRNA from 1 species
UGAGAUAUAGCUUAAUUGGUAGAGCAUCAUCCUGAUACGAUGAUAGGUUUAGGUUCAAGUCCUAAUAUCUCAA